GACGAACGCUGGCGGCGUGCCUAAUACAUGCAAGUAGAACGCUGAAGGAGGAGCUUGCUUCUCUGGAUGAGUUGCGAACGGGUGAGUAACGCGUAGGUAACCUGCCUGGUAGCGGGGGAUAACUAUUGGAAACGAUAGCUAAUACCGCAUAAGAGUAGAUGUUGCAUGACAUUUGCUUAAAAGGUGCAAUUGCAUCACUACCAGAUGGACCUGCGUUGUAUUAGCUAGUUGGUGGGGUAACGGCUCACCAAGGCGAAGAUACAUAGCCGACCUGAGAGGGUGGUCGGCCACACUGGGACUGGGACACGGCCCAGACUCCUACGGGAGGCAGCAGUAGGGAAUCUUCGGCAAUGGACGGAAGUCUGACCGAGCAACGCCGCGGGAGUGAAGAAGGUUUUCGGAUCGUAAAGCUCUGUUGUAAGAGAAGAACGAGUGUGAGAGUGGAAAGUUCACACUGUGACGGUAUCUUAACAGAAAGGGACGGCUAACUACGUG
rnacentral:rRNA from 1 species